ensembl:snRNA U6 U6 spliceosomal RNA
UUGUUUUAGUAUCACAUACACUAAAAUUGAACUGAUACAGAAAGGAAUAGCAUGGACUCUGUGUAAGGAUUACACACAAAUUCGUAAAAGGUUCCAUAUUUUU